GUGCCAGACUCCUACGGGAGGCAGCAGUGGGGAAUAUUGGGCAAUGGGCGCAAGCCUGACCCAGCAACGCCGCGUGAAGGAUGAAGGUUUUCGGAUUGUAAACUUCUGUCGCGAGGGACGAAGAAUGACGGUACCUCGUAAGAAAGCCCCGGCUAACUACGUGCCAGCAGCCGCGGUAAUACGUAGGGGGCAAGCGUUAUCCGGAUUUACUGGGUGUAAAGGGAGCGUAGACGGCCAGACAAGUCAGAAGUGAAAGCCCAGGGCUCAACUCUGGGACUGCCCUUGGAACUGCAUGGCUGGAGUGCGGGAGGGGCAGGCGGAAUUCCUGGUGUAGCGGUGAAAUGCGUAGAUAUCAGGAGGAACACCGGCGGCGAAGGCGGCCUGCUGGACCGCGACUGACGUUGAGGCUCGAAAGCGUGGGGAGCGAACAGGAUUAGAUACCCCAGUAAG
rnacentral:rRNA from 1 species